rnacentral:snRNA from 1 species
AUACCUUUCUCGGCCUUUUGGCUAAGAUCAAGUGUAGUAUCUGUUCUUAUCAGUUUAAUAUCUGGUAUGUGGGCCAUCGGCCCACUUGAUAUUAAUCUUAUUUUUUAUGGGGAAAGGCCUAUCACAAUAGCUUGUUAUUGGGGUUUUUGAGUGUCGCCUUGGCGUUGCACUACUGCCUAGGUACUGCCUAGGCUUGACGCACCCCUC